rfam:Dethiosulfatarculus sandiegensis strain SPR contig_19, whole genome shotgun sequence.
CCCAAGGCCCUUUUCAGGGCCACCGUGUAGUCAAAAUCACAGCCCAG